rnacentral:rRNA from 1 species
CAGCAGCCGCGGUAAUACGUAGGUGGCAAGCGUUGUCCGGAAUUAUUGGGCGUAAAGGGCUCGCAGGCGGUUUCUUAAGUCUGAUGUGAAAGCCCCCGGCUCAACCGGGGAGGGUCAUUGGAAACUGGGAAACUUGAGUGCAGAAGAGGAGAGUGGAAUUCCACGUGUAGCGGUGAAAUGCGUAGAGAUGUGGAGGAACACCAGUGGCGAAGGCGACUCUCUGGUCUGUAACUGACGCUGAGGAGCGAAAGCGUGGGGAGCGAACAGGAUUAGAGACCCGAGUAGUCCCUGUCUCUUAUAC